UCGCUCCUAACCUAAUUCCUUCUCGUAGCCGACCUCCUCGCUCGAGCAAGUUGUGCACCUCGGAUGGCGGUGAGGACACCUGGGCCACAGCAGCAAGGACGCCCACGGUGGCAAGGACGCCUGCGGCCGCUUCAAAACGGUCAUUGAAUCCAUGUUUUUAAAUCCACCUAUGCUCCACCACCAUCCACGACCUCCUCCGGAACCACAGCCACAGCCUCCCUAACGCGCUAAUCCCCAAGUCUGUCAACUGCUUCUUCUACGACGACGCCUCCUGUCUCCUCGAGGUCCGACUCUAUGGCCCCUACUAUGCGCACUGUGAAGACGAGCUCACCUACUUUGACAGCAAGGAACGGGAGAACCUCAGCUACGGCACACUCCGCAAGGUGAUAGAGUGAGCGCAGGAGGAGUUGUUCCUUUAAUUCCCGGUCAAGGGGAUCAUGGUCAUCGAUCUCGGCUCUGGCGUGAUCCUCCUUCGCCUUCGACAUGCCGCCAGAAUGCCGCCCGGAAGUGGAAGAAGCGACCGCAGGAAUAGCAGCGGUAUCAGAGAGUUCGUGGACAAUAAAUCGGUUUGAGUUAGUGUAAGUAAAAAUAAUUAAUUGUUCAUUAUUGUUUUCGUGUGUGUAUCUCAUUUUUUUUUGUUUUUAAAAUUUUUAGACUAAUAUAAGUUAUUGUAUUAUGAACAGGAAUAAGAAAGAGAAAAAUAAAAUGUUGAUGACUAUUCUACUAAUUCUUCAUUCAAUCUUCAAUCAUGAUGUGAUGAGACGGGCGACAAAUUUUCUACAGUGUUGCGAUGUGAUGGGUGACUCAUGUAAGAGGAGGGUGUAUGAACUUGAACGCGAUCGACAGUUUGGAAGAUCAAACAAUUAAAGUUUCAACAGAUUUUCUCUAAUAAGAAGAAUAAAGAAUUAUCAUAAGAAAUUGAAGACAUGCAUGCUACUAGCAAGAGGGCGGAGGGAGAAAUUAUUAAAAGGAAAAGAAAAUUGGAAUCGUAAUGUGUGAUUGCUUUUAUCUCGAGACGAUGUGAAUGUUUAUUUAUCUUAAUGGUAAUCAUAUUGUACUUUUAGAUUUA